rnacentral:rRNA from 1 species
AACGCGAAGAACCUUACCAAGGCUUGACAUAUAGAGGAAAAGUGCAGAAAUGCACUCCCCGCAAGGUCUCUAUACAGGUGGUGCAUGGUUGUCGUCAGCUCGUGUCGUGAGAUGUUGGGUUAAGUCCCGCAACGAGCGCAACCCUCGUCCUAUGUUGCCAGCACGUAAUGGUGGGAACUCAUGGGAUACUGCCGGGGUCAACUCGGAGGAAGGUGGGGAUGACGUCAAAUCAUCAUGCCCCUUAUGUCUUGGGCUUCACGCAUGCUACAAUGGCCGGUACAGAGGGCUGCAAUACCGCAAGGUGGAGCGAAUCCCAAAAAGCCGGUCUCAGUUCGGAUUGAGGUCUGCAACUCGACCUCAUGAAGUCGGAGUCGCUAGUAAUCGCGAAUCAGCAACGUCGCGGUGAAUACGUUCCCGGGUCUUGUACACACCG